rnacentral:rRNA from 1 species
UACAGAGGGUGCAAGCGUUAAUCGGAAUUACUGGGCGUAAAGCGCACGUAGGCGGUUUUUUAAGUCAGAUGUGAAAGCCCCGGGCUCAACCUGGGAAUUGCAUUUGAAACUGGGGAACUAGAGUGUGUGAGAGGGGGGUAGAAUUCCAAGUGUAGCGGUGAAAUGCGUAGAGAUUUGGAGGAAUACCAGUGGCGAAGACGGCCCCCUGGCACAAUACUGACGCUCAGGUGCGAAAGCGUGGGGAGCAAACAGG